AUAUUAUUUUUAAGUAUCAUAAAAAACCUUGAGUUUUGGUUUGUUUAAAAAUGCCUUGAGUUUUGGUUUGUUGUUAUGGUUCAUAUAUUCUUUUAAAAGUCUCUUUAUGAUUUUUUUUUUCUUUGUCGAGUUAUAUUUAAAAUAUUUUUAAUAAAUCUAAAUGAUGACAUGGUUUGGUUUAUAGUAUGUUCAAAAAUUAAGGUGACCUAAUUUUUUCAGUUAUGACCCUUUUGAGUAAAUCUGGGUCGUCGUUGACGUCAUUCAACAGUUCUUGAGUGAUGGUCAUGCGACGGUUCAUUCGGUCAAAAUUUAGCAAUUUCGGAACAAACUUUGCUGACACACGUCUCAUGCCCAAAAUGUUAGAAAAUUUUUUUUGCACGAGCCAAGCGAUAUACCAACACUAUCAGCAACUUCUCUGAUUGUGGUUCGAUGAUUUUCCGAAACAAUUUUCUUCACUGCUUGAAUGUUUUUAUCAGUUGUUGACGUGGUUAGGCGUCCAGAGCGAAGCUCGUCAUUGGCAUCUUCCCGGCCAUCUUGAAAGAGUUUGUACCACUUGUAAAUGGAGAAAACGGAGAAGACGAGCUUCGACUAAAACAACAAGAUUUGUUUUUCUUGGUUAUGGCGUGUUUGCAACAAAUAAGUUUCUGAAAGGGGACUUUCUUUUAGAAUUCAGAGCAUUAAUGCCUCAAACCAAUUAAGUUUCAUGGGAUGCAUUGUGAUCGACUCACCUUCAAUAUAUGCCAAUGCAAAAAUGAAGAGAAUAGUUGAGUCUAAUCAUGUUAGUCUUUGUGUUCUCGCUACAAAAACAAUAGAUGUUGGUACUGAACAAAGGUAUAUUUUACAUUCUAAAAUAUUAUUCCAUUCACGUUUCAGCAUACAAUAUAGAGUUUUUGUGAUAUUUUUUUGAGGUAAAAAUUAGUUUUUAGUUAGUAAAUUCUUAUACUCUUUCCAUAAAAUUAUACUGUAAAAUUACUUUAAAGUAAUUCUUAAGGAAGUUUAUGAAUAAAUAAAAGGGAUGCACUGUCCCAAAAUGAACAUCAGUUUUAAACUACAUUUUUUUCCUAAUAUCCACUGUCCAGGAGCUCUAGAUACUUAUGAUCUGCAAUGAGAAAAUAAUUCAUAGCAGUCCUGAAAUUUCCUGCCUCCGUUAUAUAAAAGGACUCUAGAUACAAAUUGAUUGCUACUCUAAAGUUAUUUUUUACUUAAAAGUAGUUUAAAAGCCUUUUUUCAUUUAUUGUCUAUGUUAUUUAAAAUGCAUUUAAUAUAUUUACCUAAUUUAUAUAUUGCUUGCAGCCUAUUUGGGGGUGAAUCAGAAUAAAAAAUAAAAAAAAAGAAUAAUAAUUUCAAAAGUUAAAUCAUUUCAAAAAAUUACUGUGAUGGUUGGUCACCUUACA